rnacentral:rRNA from 1 species
GACGAACGCUGGCGGCGUGCUUAACACAUGCAAGUCGAACGGAAAGGCCCUGCUUUUGUGGGGUGCUCGAGUGGCGAACGGGUGAGUAACACGUGAGUAACCUGCCCUUGACUUUGGGAUAACUUCAGGAAACUGGGGCUAAUACCGGAUAGGAGCUCCUGCUGCAUGGUGGGGGUUGGAAAGUUUCGGCGGUUGGGGAUGGACUCGCGGCUUAUCAGCUUGUUGGUGAGGUAGUGGCUUACCAAGGCUUUGACGGGUAGCCGGCCUGAGAGGGUGACCGGCCACAUUGGGACUGAGAGACGGCCCAGACUCCGACGGGAGGCAGCAGUGGGGAAUAUUGCACAAUGGGCGGAAGCCUGAUGCAGCAACGCCGCGUGCGGGAUGACGGCCUUCGGGUUGUAAACCGCUUUCGCCUGUGACGAAGCGUGAGUGACGGUAAUGGGUAAAGAAGCACCGGCUAACUACGUG